rnacentral:rRNA from 1 species
AUGUUUUGUCCUAUCAUGUUGGACUGGGUUAUUAGCAAUGCUUAUAGUAGAUUACUUGUCACACCACACCCUCAAGGGUCCCUUCCUGAGAAGUUUCUAACUCACUCAGUAGGUGCUUCACCCAGAGCAUCUCACUUAACCCUUGAGGUAAGGCUCUAUACUCAAUUUCUGCUGUUGAUCUGGAAACAACUUUUUGCUUCUUGCUUCUCCAUGACAACAAUUUUCCUCCCACAAGCACACAGUAGCCGGAAGUUGAUCUUCUCUCAUGUUGACAGCCGGCCUAAUCAGUGUCAGUAUAGCCAUCCACCACAAGAUUUCCACUCUUUGCAAACCAUAACUCUUUUCUCGGAGUGCCCUUCAAGUAUCUCAGGAUUCUGUGCACAAUAUCAAGAUGCCCACUCCUUGGUUCAUGCAUGCAUCUACUCACCACAGUCACGACAUAUGAAAUGUCAGGCCUGGUAUGACACAAGUACAAUAACCUCCCAACCAGUUUCUGAUGAUCUUCCUUAUUCACUAGCUCUUAAGCGAUAG